UACGAAGGGGGCUAGCGUUGCUCGGAAUCACUGGGCGUAAAGCGCACGUAGGCGGAUCUUUAAGUCAGGGGUGAAAUCCUGGAGCUCAACUCCAGAACUGCCUUUGAUACUGGGGAUCUCGAGUCCGGGAGAGGUGAGUGGAACUGCGAGUGUAGAGGUGAAAUUCGUAGAUAUCAAGCGGAACACCGGUGGCGAAGGCGGCCUUCUGGACAGAAACUGACGCUGAGACGCGAAAGCGUGGGGAGCAAACAGG
rnacentral:rRNA from 1 species